GCAGGUGACUGGUGGUUAACAUUGAUCUCCAAAUGAAUGUGAUUGUUUGUUGGAUUUUAUUUCCUGCAGCUUUCCCGGGGAGCUUCGUGUUUCUGUCAGCGACAAGAUGACAAUUCAUAUUUCUACCAAAUGAUCCAGUGACUCAUCCUAUUAACUCUGCUGGAAUACACACUUCCAGUUGUCCUGUCACGGUUCCCCAGAUGCUUUACUGCUCUUCCUUGUCUCAUCUGGGUUUAAAUUACAACUGGAAGUCCCUCCACCUUUGACAUUCCUGCCUUUGGAGCUUAUGCCAGCUGCAGUCCUGAAGUAAGUGAGCAAAACACUUCCAAAUCUCCAGCUUAAUAGAGAAAUGGAUCUUUGAAUUAAAAUAA
rnacentral:lncRNA from 1 species